GUACCCCUGCGCUGAGCGAGUGGCCUUAUGUUGCCUGAGCCGAUGCAUGUCGAUUGGGAGCUUGUCUAUACUGAUGGUGUGAAUGCCGCUUGUCCGGGAUACCUAAAAUCAGUGUGCGGCGCCCCCCUCGUGUUCGAGGGUUCGACGACUUACCGCCAAUACGCCAGAGCGGGGGUACU
rnacentral:other from 1 species